GACGAACGCUGGCGGCGUGCCUAAUACAUGCAAGUUGAGCGCUGAAGGUUGGUACUUGUACCAACUGGAUGAGCAGCGAACGGGUGAGUAACGCGUGGGGAAUCUGCCUUUGAGCGGGGGACAACAUUUGGAAACGAAUGCUAAUACCGCAUAAAAACUUUAAACACAAGUUUUAAGUUUGAAAGAUGCAAUUGCAUCACUCAAAGAUGAUCCCGCGUUGUAUUAGCUAGUUGGUGAGGUAAAGGCUCACCAAGGCGAUGAUACAUAGCCGACCUGAGAGGGUGAUCGGCCACAUUGGGACUGAGACACGGCCCAAACUCCUACGGGAGGCAGCAGUAGGGAAUCUUCGGCAAUAGACGAAAGUCUGACCGAGCAACGCCGCGUGAGUGAAGAAGGUUUUCGGAUCGUAAAACUCUGUUGGUAGAGAAGAACGUUGGCGAGAGUGGAAAGCUCAUCAAGUGACGGUAACUACCCAGAAAGGGACGGCUAACUACGUG
rnacentral:rRNA from 1 species